rnacentral:rRNA from 1 species
GCGUGAGUGANGAAGGUUUUCGGAUCGUAAAGCUCUGUUGUUAGGGAAGAACAAGUGCGAGAGUAACUGCUCGCACCAUGACGGUACCUAACCAGAAAGCCACGGCUAACUACGUGCCAGCAGCCGCGGUAAUACGUAGGUGGCAAGCGUUGUCCGGAAUUAUUGGGCGUAAAGGGCUCGCAGGCGGUUUCUUAAGUCUGAUGUGAAAGCCCCCGGCUCAACCGGGGAGGGUCAUUGGAAACUGGGAAACUUGAGUGCAGAAGAGGA